AAGUCGUAACAAGGUUUCCGUAGGUGAACCUGCGGAAGGAUCAUUAACACGUAUCCACGUAUAUACAUCUCUGCGAACUUAUUUUCUGUUCUAUAAGUUGGUUGGCCAGCGUAGCAAUGGAGGUAGAUGUUUACUAUGUCACAAAAAAACGAAUGGGAGGUUGAUCGUCACAUCUUCUCUGUACAUUCGUUUUUUUGGCGUUCUACCUGCCUAUCCGGAAAUGAAGUGACGGUCUUUUUUGAUCGGCACUUGUGUUUCUUGGGUAUUCUGGCUCAUAUGACUUGAAUCAUAGUAGUAUAUCUAUUCAACCUUUUUAUUAAUUUGUAAGAAUUUGUGAUGGCUGCUGAUUGAGAGGUGUAACAACUUCAACUUUCGCAGCUCACGUUAAAAAAACAUUAUACAACUCUUAGCAACGGAUAUCUCGGUUCUCC
rnacentral:misc_RNA from 1 species